UAUAUAUUAGUGUAAGACGCACUAGAAAUUUUGAUUUUCUUAGAUUUAGUUUAAUUCUAAAAUAUAUAA
rnacentral:tRNA from 1 species